GAGGAAAGUCCGGGCUCUGUUUAUAGAAAUACAGCUGUAUAAAGUUCAGUAUAGGUAACUAUGAGGAUAGUGCCACAGAAAUAUACCGCCUAUUUGUUUGGGUAAGGGUGCAAUGGUACGGUAAAAGCGUACCAGAGAUAUUUUCAAGAUAUUUGCUAGGUAAACCCCGUAUUAGAGCAAGGUAACCAGUUAAUUGUAUAAGUUUUCUAUAAAUUUUACUUUGCUAUUUGAAAGGUAAUUCUGGUUUGUUUGUAUACUGCAUAAAGUAAAACUUUUUACUAUAGAUUAAUAAUUACCCUUUUUUAUAUAAAAAUUAUAUUUUGCGUUAAUUAAGUUUCUAUUUUUUAUAAAAAAGAACAAAACCCGGCUUAU
rnacentral:RNase_P_RNA from 1 species